GGGCGGUUAGCUCAGCCGGUUGGAGCAUGGUGCUGAUAACACCGAGGUCACGGGUUUGAUCCCCGUUCGGUCCC
rnacentral:tRNA from 1 species